GUCAUGAAAGCAGAGCCCAUAUGGGUGGAGGGAAUGUCCUUUUAAAAGAGACCCAGCCUGACCCUCCAUGUGAGGUUACAAUAAGAGCACAGCCAUCCGAGAGACCUCACCAGACACCAAAGCUGCUGGCACCUUGAUGUUGGACCUUCCAGCCUCUGAAACAGCAAUGUGUAAACAAGGAAGGAAAUGCCAGGCUGUUAACAUGUUAGAGAGACCCAGUCUUGGCCAAACUUGGUGCCAUGGCAAGAGACAUCAAAGAUCUGCGUUCGAGCCCAGCUCUGCACUGGUGACUUCCCUGCAACACGGAGCCGAGUUCCAUCCUUCCUAACGCAAGCAUCCUCAAGCAAUCAAAGGGCGCUACGUGAAGUAAAGACCCUAGACUGGGAUCUCCGAUGCACGAGUGUCUCUGUGGAACAGAGAGACUGUGUGAGACUUGGGAGUCCAAGCAGUUGCUUCUUGACGACAUUGCCUCGGGGGCCUGAGUGGUCACCAGCAGAGGGAAAGUUCUGGCUCCUAGCAGGGCAAGGCUCUCCUAGAAGGCAUGGAGGGAGGGAGUGCUGAAGUGCCCAUCUUAAUUGGCUUACAGGCUUCAGCAAGGAGGUCAAAACAUGAGUGGACUAUCUCAAAAAAGAAUUCCCUCAGAUUUUGGAGGUUUGCAGCUGAAAUCUGGUGGCCCGCAGGCAAGAUGAGGGCCCCUGCAAUUUAGGGAAU